AUGACUGCUUGUCUUCCUGUUGCUUAUUUCGUAUCUGAAUAUUGCGAGAAAAGUUUUUUUAAAUCAACGCCAAAGCGUAAAUAAAAAAUGUGGCGGGAUCUACAAUAUUUUGACAAUUCAAUAAGUAUGUGGAGUGGGAAGAUUAUGUGCUGCUAUUUUGAAAUGAUAAUUUUAGCUGAGCACUACAUAAUUUACAGUAGCUGAUCUAGUGGGUGAGUUUAUUUGAACGUUAACAACCAAAAAUUAUAAGCAUUUGCUCUUUUGCGGUCUUCAAUUCACUAGAUCCCUUUUUGAAAGAAUUUUCUGAAUCCGCCACUGAUUUGGUACCAAGAAAUACAACUCAUUCUAUGUUCAUUUAUACCACUAAAAAUCUACAAGAGUUGUCGUUCUUUAAGAAGCAGAAGACACUUGCUGUGAAAACGGAAAUGAAUGGCGAAUUCUGAAGAAAAGCUUAUUUUAGUGAUCUUUGCAGAAUGUUGUCCAUUAAGCUAAUGGUGGGGAUCGUAACACUACCCUGCACACAGACAUGGAAUGGAUCUGCCUAGUCCAUUAUCAGAAGAGUGACCAGGACUGUUCGUCCCGUCAGAGAAGUGUCUCGAGAAGCAUUACAAGAUACAGAGCUACAUUUAUAUUUUAAAUUAGUUUUACUUCCUGGUCACUUAGCCGGCUAUCAACUUAUUUUUUUGAAUAAUCAUUUGAAAACUUUUAACGCCCCUUGGGCCCAAUGGAUAUGAAAAUGGCUGGCUAAAAUAUCAUUAUUCAUGAAUAUAAUAAAACAUUUUGAUUGAAAACAAGUUCUUAGAUUUCAAACAUUCAUUGUUAAACUUAGUAACACAUAGUAUAUAUAUUGUACCUAAUAACCAUGUUAACUGCUAGCAAAUAAUUAAGAAAAGAAAAAAAUAUAUACACUGUAUUUAUAAUCUCUUGAAGAAAUAAAUCAAGUCUUGUUGUUACUUGAUUUAUAGAUUAUAUUUAAAAAUGAGUCUGAGCUAGCUGGUUUUGUUUGUCACAUAAAGCUUAGCACAAUAGUCGACAUCAUCUUCGUUUUCUCAUUGUCAUCUAGUAAGUGACCAUGUAUUCAGCAAAGUUCAUUUUUUGUCACCGUUUUAAUUAUUUCAUGCUUUGAGGUGACACUUUUAAGGAAGGAGUACACAGUUUGUGUUGCUGGCUGCAAGAACGACUCGCCCGGCCACCCUCGAGUAGAUAAUGUGUACAGGGGGUUAUAGUAGGUACCACUCACUCUAAACAGGGAUUUCAUGUAGGGACUCAUUUCUCCCAAGUGUCUUGACAUUCACCAGCUGGCAACAUAUGUGACUCAAUCAGCUCAGCCUCAUUUACAUUCUCAAUUUUGGUAAUAAAUUAUCAUUAAAAUUUUUAGGGACUUUUAUGGAUCCAGGGCAGAAGAAAUUUUCUUAACUGACUAUCCCAUCACUGCCUGCUGUUGGAGACUGAACACUUUAUUGAAAAUUGCUGGGGUGUAGCAAUCAGUGGGUGUCCUUAUUUGCCCUGAGAAGAUUCAGAGAACUACCUGGGUCUCAUGAGAUUGUGACACUGUACAGUAGGAACAGUUCCUACCGGUAUCUCUUAGAAGCAGACAGAGAUUUUCUUAGCAUCUGAUCCAAUUCAGGAGACAAACUUUUGUAUGGAGCUGGUUGGGAGUUGAGGGAUGGAGAACUAUUUUCUGAACUUGACGUUGAGACGUGAUGGAUUGGAGAACUAUUUUCUGAACUUUCUGUAGUGAGGUGACAGGGAUGAGAAUUAUUUUCUGAGCUUUACAUUGAAACAAGAGGGGAUGAAGAACUAUUUUCUCAACUUUACGCUGGGAGGUGAGGGGGGUAGCAGUUACUUGAGAUGUCUGGCUGAUUGAUGAGGAUAAUUUUCCUGAGACUCUAACAUUUUGUAGGACUUGGAUAGCUCUAUUGCUGUAGAAAAUGUCAGCUCCACAGGGCUAAUAUUACUCAGCCAAAUUUGCCUCAAAGCAUGCAUGGGUAAAGAGGAUUGAUUCAAGUUUGUACAAAAUGGAGGACCAUGCUCCAUCCAAAGGGAAGGACGGUGGAGAUUUAGAUAAGUGGUGUGAUGUUAUUGAUGGUAAACAGAAGACUGUGACCUUGAAUCUGAAGAUCUGUGAUGAAGACUGGACGUUUGGGGUCACUCUUUAUUACAGUACUACAAAUCUAACCACAAAGAGGUUGUCUCUGAUGUCCACACAUAAACCGUAUGGACCGAAUAAACCACAGUGAAUGUAGCGGAGGAACUGUCCGUCCUGAUCUAGGAUGUGGAUACGGUCAUUGUCACAGUCUGCUGUCAGGAUGUGACUCUGGCUGUCUGUAGUGAUGCCGACUGGAUUAAAUGAUAGCUCGGUAUUAGAGGGAUGACCAGUGUAUCUAAAUCGGAGUUUUCCUGACUGAUUGACCACCACUACUGCUCUAGCUCUACAGUCAGCCACACAGAUAUCCAGGUUCCUGUUCUCACUGAGGUAUUUAAUGUCAUUAUAACCACCAGAUGAGUAGAGAGGACGACCCUGAUCAUCAAACUGAAUGCUUUGUUUCUCUAUGGAGCCGGAGUAACGCACGACUUUGGAUUGUUUGAGAUCAUCACUGACCAUGGUAACCAGGAGAUGGUUAGAGGCGGUACAGCAGACAUAGAGAGGUCUCCACCCCUGUAGUGUGAUCACGAAUGAGUUGAGUGGAAUAAUGAACCUCCAGAUAUCUAUGUACAGGUGUAUGAAUAAACUGUUGAACUCGUGCGUGCGAGCUUGUCCUAUA